rnacentral:rRNA from 1 species
GACGAACCGUCCUAACGUUGUUCGGAUUCACUGGGCUUAAAGGGCGCGUAGGCGGGCCCGCCAGUCCGGGGUGAAAGCUUUCGGCUCAACCGGAAAAGUGCCUCGGAAACUGCGGGUCUAGAGGGAGGUAGGGGCAUGUGGAACUUCUGGUGGAGCGGUGAAAUGCGUAGAUAUCGUAAGGAAGACCAGUGGCGAAGGCGAGUCUCUGGACAGCAACUGACGCUGAGGCACGAAGGCCAGGGGAGCAAACGGG